UAGGGAAUCUUCGGCAAUGGGGGCAACCUUGACCGAGCAACGCCGCGUGAGUGAAGAAGGUUUUCGGAUCGUAAAGCUCUGUUGUAAGAGAAGAACGUGUGUGAGAGUGGAAAGUUCACACAGUGACGGUAACUUACCAGAAAGGGACGGCUAACUACGUGCCAGCAGCCGCGGUAAUACGUAGGUCCCGAGCGUUGUCCGGAUUUAUUGGGCGUAAAGCGAGCGCAGGCGGUUUAAUAAGUCUGAAGUUAAAGGCAGUGGCUUAACCAGUGUUCGCUUUGGAAACUGUUAAACUUGAGUGCAGAAGGGGAGAGUGGAAUUCCAUGUGUAGCGGUGAAAUGCGUAGAUAUAUGGAGGAACACCGGUGGCGAAAGCGACUCUCUGGUCUGUAACUGACGCUGAGGCUCGAAAGCGUGGGGAGCAAACAGG
rnacentral:rRNA from 1 species